GAUGGAGAACGUAGCGAACUGCGAUAAGUAAUGUGAAUUGCAGAAUUCAGUGAAUCAUCGAGUCUUUGAACGCACAUUGCGCCCCCUGGCAUUCCGGGGGGCAUGCCUGUCCGAGCGUCAUUGCUGCCCUUCAAGCCCGGCUUGUGUGUUGGGUCGUCGUCCCCCCCGGGGGACGGGCCCGAAAGGCAGCGGCGGCACCGCGUCCGGUCCUCGAGCGUAUGGGGCUUUGUCACCCGCUCGAUUAGGGCCGGCCGGGCGCCAGCCGGCGUCUCCAACCUUCUAUUUUACCAGGUUGACCUCGGAUCAGGUAGGGAUACCCGCUGAACUUAAGCAUAUCAAUAAGCGGAGGA
rnacentral:misc_RNA from 1 species